AGUGAACGCUGGCGGUAGGCCUAACACAUGCAAGUCGAACGGCAGCACAGUAAGAGCUUGCUCUUACGGGUGGCGAGUGGCGGACGGGUGAGGAAUACAUCGGAAUCUACUUUUUCGUGGGGGAUAACGUAGGGAAACUUACGCUAAUACCGCAUACGACCUACGGGUGAAAGCAGGGGAUCUUCGGACCUUGCGCGAUUGAAUGAGCCGAUGUCGGAUUAGCUAGUUGGCGGGGUAAAGGCCCACCAAGGCGACGAUCCGUAGCUGGUCUGAGAGGAUGAUCAGCCACACUGGAACUGAGACACGGUCCAGACUCCUACGGGAGGCAGCAGUGGGGAAUAUUGGACAAUGGGCGCAAGCCUGAUCCAGCCAUACCGCGUGGGUGAAGAAGGCCUUCGGGUUGUAAAGCCCUUUUGUUGGGAGAUAAAAGCAGCAGGUUAAUACCCCGCUGUUCUGACGGUACCCAAAGAAUAAGCACCGGCUAACUUCGUG
rnacentral:rRNA from 1 species